rnacentral:rRNA from 1 species
AUUGAACGCUGGCGGCAUGCUUUACACAUGCAAGUCGAACGGUAACAGGCCGCAAGGUGCUGACGAGUGGCGAACGGGUGAGUAAUGCAUCGGAACGUGCCCAGUCGUGGGGGAUAACGCAGCGAAAGCUGUGCUAAUACCGCAUACGAUCUAUGGAUGAAAGCGGGGGACCGUAAGGCCUCGCGCGUUUGGAGCGGCCGAUGUCAGAUUAGGUAGUUGGUGGGGUAAAGGCUCACCAAGCCAACGAUCUGUAGCUGGUCUGAGAGGACGACCAGCCAAACUGGGACUGAGACACGGCCCAGACUCCUACGGGAGGCAGCAGUGGGGAAUUUUGGACAAUGGGCGCAAGCCUGAUCCAGCAAUGCCGCGUGCAGGAAGAAGGCCUUCGGGUUGUAAACUGCUUUUGUACGGAACGAAAAGGUUUGGGUUAAUACCCUGGGCCGAUGACGGUACCGUAAGAAUAAGCACCGGCUAACUACGUGCCAGCCGCCGCAGUAA